GACGAACGCUGGCGGCGUGCCUAAUACAUGCAAGUAGAACGCUGAAGGAGGAGCUUGCUUCUCUGGAUGAGUUGCGAACGGGUGAGUAACGCGUAGGUAACCUGCCUGGUAGUGGGGGAUAACUAUUGGAAACGAUAGCUAAUACCGCAUAAUAGCAGUUGUUGCAUGAUAACUGUUUGAAAGGUGCAAUUGCACCGCUACCAGAUGGACCUGCGUUGUAUUAGCUAGUUGGUGGGGUAACGGCUCACCAAGGCGACGAUACAUAGCCGACCUGAGAGGGGGGUCGGCCACACUGGGACUGGGACAAGGCCCAGACUCCUACGGGAGGCAGCAGUAGGGAAUCUUCGGCAAUGGACGGAAGUCUGACCGAGCAACGCCGCGUGAGGGAAGAAGGUUUUCGGAUCGUAAAGCUCUGUUGUAAGAGAAGAACGAGUGUGAGAGUGGAAAGUUCACACUGUGACGGUAUCUUACCAGAAAGGGACGGCUAACUACGUG
rnacentral:rRNA from 1 species